rnacentral:lncRNA from 1 species
AAAAGUCCUACGCCACGUGAGACCUCAAAAUCAUAGGAUGGUACUUACAGUGUAAUCAAAAUCCGGGGAGGUACAUAGGGUAGUGCGUAUAGCACUUCAAACUGACAUUCUAAACUCUUUUUAUAAAAAUAUAUAUUAAGUUCUAAAGUUGUAUAAGCCUCAACCACAAUCUAGCAUCCGAUAAUCCCCGAAUUCAAAACAAGAAAUUAAUUUCCUAAUCCUACAUAAUCAACAAAACUCAACAACGC